UGACAUUUGUUAUGACAUCCGCUUCAAACAUUACAAUGCUAAUGAUAACAACUCUACAAUAAGUAAAUCAACUUCAGCAGAUAAUUACUCUUCGACAGCGAAGCCUUAGAAAUACACAGCUACCAUAAAAACGGAAGUUCGAAGACAAAAUUCUAAAGAUGGCGGCGCUCUUGUUUCUCUGGCGCAAAAGGGCUAUAAUUUGGUUGGAAAUGUUCAUAUUAAAAUCUCUAAAUUUUGAUUGCAGACUUUGGUAUCUUGGCAAGUCGGAGCACAGUUUGAGACAUGUCAGGCUCAGUUCAGACGUUGGAAGGGAUGAGUGAUAUGCUGUGUGGCCUUAAAGACGUGCUGGUUGAACGUACGACGCUGAAAAUGUGCCGAAUGCUUGGGAAAGGAGAGUUUGGGGCUGUUUAUGAAGGCAUAUUUUCCCCACAAAGAGGACAAGAUAUCAGAGUGGCUGUGAAAACCUCAAAAGAAGCAAUCCACAAUAAAGAAGAUCUGGAGUCCUUCCUCAAGGAGGCAGAAAUUAUGAAGCAUUUCAAUCAUCCGAAUGUAGUUAAAUUGCUUGGUGUUGUACUAGAGCGGAAUCCGGAGUCCUCCAUCAUUUUACCACUUGUUAUUCUUCCAUACAUGAAACAUAGAGACCUACACAGCUUCCUCAAAGCAACCCGCCUUGGUGAUGUUCCCAUGUGUUUGCCAUAUCAGAGACUUCUGCAUUUUAUGAUUGACAUUGCUGCAGGAAUGGAGUAUCUCAGCCUUGUGGGUUUUAUACACAGAGACCUGGCUGCCCGCAAUUGCAUGUUGGGAGUCUGUGGCUGACUUUGGCCUCUCUAAGAAGAUCUAUUACAUUAACUACUAUAGGCAUAAGAACAGGACUAUUAAAUUGCCUGUAAGGUGGAUGGCAAUAGAGAGUGUGUCUGACAACAUAUUCACCACCAAGAGUGAUGUGUGGUCUUUUGGAAUAACCAUGUGGGAGAUCACAUCCAGGGGGAAGCUACCUUAUCCAGGUGUCUCCAAUCAUGAGCUCCUGGACCUCUUGGAAAAAGGACACCGUCUCAGACAAGGGGACAAUGAUAGCAAAUUAUAUGAGGUUAUGCUGAGCUGCUGGCACAGAGAUCCCUCUCAGAGGUCAGAUUUUGGAGAGCUGGGCCAGAGCCUCAAAGCACUUCUGUCUGAGCUUCCACCACUGGAGGCCAACAAGGAGGCUCACUACAUCUGCCUGGGCCUGGAGGCAGCCAGCGAUCACCAGGACAGCGCAGAGGCCCUGGAGCCUGAGGUGGAGGGGAUGUUAUAAUAAACAACACAUUGCACUACUGUGCAAUAAACGUUUUUGUGAUCACACUAGGCCUUUAUUAGUAUAUAUUUCAGUAUUAUGAUGAGAUUUUAGUUCUUCAAAUGACAUUACACUUUGCAUAUAAAAGUUUCAUUGCUAGAAGGAAAUAAGAAAACCUGUUUUUAAUUCUUUGUGAUUCAUAUUUUUAUUUUUUUUACUUCACUGUCAAUGUUGUAUUUUUGUACUUUGUAUAUCAAAGAUUCCAAAUGGUGGGAGGUUUGGAAAAUGCCAGACAUCACAAAUUAAACAGCUCAGGACAUUUUAA